rnacentral:rRNA from 1 species
ACGCUCGACACCUACGGGAAGCAGCAGUGGGGAAUAUUGCACAAUGGAGGAAACUCUGAUGCAGCGAUGCCGCGUGAGGGAAGAAGGUUUUCGGAUUGUAAACCUCUGUCUUUGGGGACGAUAAUGACGGUACCCAAGGAGGAAGCUCCGGCUAACUACGUGCGNNGCGCGGUAGUACUGNGCGGCGNGNGAGAG